AUGCUAUUUAAGAAUACUUGGAGUAUUUACUGCUUUGCACUCGUAUCCUUGACCGAGUUACCAAGUACAUCUUCUAAGAAGCAUGGAGGCCUUUCUUCUGUGCAUCUUUCUAUGUCAGGAAAACUAUGGAUUCAUCGGCUAUUAAAGCAGCAUAAGGUUGGGGAGGAGCAUCUCCACCUUGCUGCUGUAAAGUGUAUAUCACUAGUUUUGAAGGAACUACUUCAACGUGCUGCACUAGAUAUCGCUCUAGAAGCGAAUAUAGGCCAAUAUGACAGCAGGAGACCAGGAGUUCAGUCCAAAACUCCUAGAACACAAGAUAUAGUCCAAGAUCUUAGAUAA
rnacentral:rRNA from 1 species